UGUCUUCUUCGAUCAAAGCCCACCUGAACCCUAAUUCAAAUAAAUCAGCCGUCAAACUAAACUCAGACCAAGGUACAGUUCGUAGGAGAUAGGAUCUCGAAGGUGGUUGUGAAAGACAAGCUGGUCGCUGGAGAUGAUCGGCGGCGGUGGUUUGAGAUGAUGGCUGAAGACGGAGGUUGUUGAUGUGAUGCAGGUGAUGUGGUGGUUGACGUAGGAUGAACAGGUGACCGGAGAAAAAUUAGCGACAGAGGAUGGUGAUUAACGGUGGUCGGAGGAAGUCGAUGGUGUGUCGGAGAUGACGAAGAUGAGUGUUACGGUGUCGAAAACCCGAACUUGAUGUCGAACUUGAACCGGAGAUGAUGAUGAGUGUCGAACGUUGCCGGGGACAGUGAUAAUGCACUCGCCGGUGACGGUGAUGACGAUGAAGAUUAUGAUCAGUGGAGAUGAACGGAGGUCGUGGUGGUUAUUGUGUGAUGACAGGUGAUGAACGUCGACGACCAAGACGGAGGUUGACGAUGAAACUUUUGUGAGAUACAGGUUCCGAAACGGUGAACGAUGAUGAAUGAUUGUGAACGGAGAUCGACGGUAACUGAAUGAUGAAGAUGAUGAUGGCCGACGGAUGAUCGACGAUAACUGAAUGAUGAAUGAUAAGGAGAAGAUGAUGGUUGCGACAGGCCGUGAAGAGUCGAGAUCUCGGUUGCGACUCGGAACCGUGGUUGCGAGUCGGAGAUUACGAGUCGGAACGAAAACGUGAAGAGCCGAAACCUUGAUUGCGAGUUGAUGAAGAUGAUCAGUGUUGAUGAUUGCGACUCAGAUGAUCAGUUGAUGAUUGCAAGUUGGAAGAGUCGGUGGAUGAUUGGCUGGUUGCGACUUGUCCUUUAAAUGUGGAAUAUUGGAACAGUGAUUGCGACAAUGGAGGAAGAGGACUCGAAACCAAAAGAUUUGGAAACAGUGGAUUUUUUGAAUUUCAAAACAAUCUUUCAAGUCAACAAAUCCCGAAAUUUGUGAAAAUUUAAAAAAAAAACAAGAUCUUUUAUUAUUUUUAAAAAUAAAAGAUUAUGUUUAAUCUUUUAACAACUUUUUCAACAAUUGAAGCACCAAAAUAUGUGGAAUUUU
rnacentral:lncRNA from 1 species